UGGCUUGGAAGCAGCCAUUCAUUUAAAGAGUGCGUAACAGCUCACUAGUCGAGCGGUUUUGCAUGGAUAAUAAUCGGGCAUAAACAUAUUACCGAAGCUAUGGAUUUGUAUUAUAUACAAGUGGUAGGGGAGCAUUGUAAUCUGCGUAGAAGGUGUGCUGUCAGGCAUGCUGGAGUGAUUACAAAAGAAAAUGUAGGCAUAAGUAACGAUAAAGGGGGCGAGAAACCCCCUCACCGAAAGACUAAGGUUUCCUCAGCGAUGCUAAUCAGCUGAGGGUUAGUCGGGUCCUAAGGCGAAUCCGAAAGGAGUAGUCGAUGGCUAACAGGUUAAUAUUCCUGUACUUCUUAUAAUUGCGAUGGGGUGACGGAGUAAUGAAAGCACCGCGUACUGACGGAAUAGUACGUUGAACUGAGUAGCUAUUGGAACUGUAGGCAAAUCCGCAGAUCUAGGUGAAUCAGGAUAGUACCAUAAGGCUUCGGCUGCGUGGAUAGUGUGCCUAAAGGCUUCCAAGAAAAACCUCUAAGCUUCAGAUUAUAAGAACCCGUACCGUAAACCGACACAGGUAGUUGGGAUGAGAAUUCUAAGGUGCUCGAGAGAUUCAUGGCUAAGGAACUAGGCAAAAUAGACCCGUAACUUCGGGAGAAGGGUCGCCACGCUUUACGGCGUGGCCGCAGUGAAAAGGUCCAGGCGACUGUUUAUCAAAAACACAGGGCUUUGCUAAAUUGAAAGAUGAUGUAUAAGGCCUGACACCUGCCCGGUGCUGGAAGGUUAAGUGGAGGGGUUAGCUUCGGCGAAGCUCUGAAAUGAAGCCCCAGUAAACGGCGGCCGUAACUAUAACGGUCCUAAGGUAGCGAAAUUCCUUGUCGGGUAAGUUCCGACCUGCACGAAUGGUGUAACGAUCUGGGCACUGUCUCAGCCAUGAGCUCGGUGAAAUUGUAGUAUCGGUGAAGAUGCCGAUUACCCGCAGCGGGACGAAAAGACCCCGUGCACCUUUACUAUAGCUUAGUAUUGGUUUUGGAUAAGUAAUGUGUAGGAUAGGUGGGAGACUACGAAGCGGCGUCGCUAGGCGUUGUGGAGUCAUCCUUGAAAUACCACCCUUUGCUUA
rnacentral:rRNA from 1 species